rnacentral:rRNA from 1 species
AUUGAACGCUGGCGGCAUGCUUUACACAUGCAAGUCGAACGGUAACAGGGUGCUUGCACCGCUGACGAGUGGCGAACGGGUGAGUAAUGCGUCGGAACGUGCCGAGUAGUGGGGGAUAACGCAGCGAAAGUUGUGCUAAUACCGCAUACGUACUGAGGUAGAAAGUGGGGGACCUUCGGGCCUCACGCUAUUCGAGCGGCCGACGUCUGAUUAGGUAGUUGGUAGAGGUAACGGCUCACCAAGCCUUCGAUCAUUAACUGGUGUGAGAGCACGACCAGUCACACGGGCACUGAGACACAUGCCCGACUCCUACGGGAGGCAGCAGUAAGGAAUAUUGGUCAAUGGACGGAAGUCUGAACCAGCCAUGCCGCGUGAAGGAUGACGGCCCUCUGGGUUGUAAACUUCUUUUAUGUGGGACGAAAAAGGGCCAUUUUUGGUCAACUGACGGUACCAUAGGAAUAAGCACCGGCUAACUCCGUGCCAGCCGCCGCGGUAA